UCAUACUGUGAAACUGCGAAUGGCUCAUUAAAUCAGUUAUCGUUUAUUUGAUAGUACCUUUACCUGGAUAACCGUGGUAAUUCUAGAGCUAAUACAUGCUAAAAACCUCGACUUCGGAAGGGGUGUAUUUAUUAGAUAAAAAACCAAUGCCCUUCGGGGCUCCUUGGUGAUUCAUAAUAACUUAACGAAUCGCAUGGCCUUGCGCCGGCGAUGGUUCAUUCAAAUUUCUGCCCUAUCAACUUUCGAUGGUAGGAUAGUGGCCUACCAUGGUCUUAACGGGUAACGGGGAAUUAGGGUUCUAUUCCGGAGAGGGAGCCUGAGAAACGGCUACCACAUCCAAGGAAGGCAGCAGGCGCGCAAAUUACCCAAUCCCAAUACGGGGAGGUAGUGACAAUAAAUACUGAUACGGGGCUCUUUCGGGUCUCGUAAUUGGAAUGAGUACAAUCUAAAUCCCUUAACGAGGAACAAUUGGAGGGCAAGUCUGGUGCCAGCAGCCGCGGUAAUUCCAGCUCCAAUAGCGUAUAUUAAAGUUGUUGCCGUUAAAAAGCUCGUAGUUGAACCUUGGACCUGGCUGAUCUGUCCUCCUAAUCGAGCGCACGGAUUCGGUCGGGUCUUUCCUUCUGGGGAGCCCUAUGCCCUUCACUGGGUGUAGUGGGGAACCAGGACUUUUACCUUGAAAAAAUUAGAGUGUUCAAAGCAGGCCUUUGCUCGAAUACAUUAGCAUGGAAUAAUAGAAUAGGACAUCGGUUCUAUUUUGUUGGUUUCUAGGACCGCUGUAAUGAUUAAUAGGGAUAGUCGGGGGCGUCAGUAUUCAAUUGUCAGAGGUGAAAUUCUUGGAUUUAUUGAAGACUAACUACUGCGAAAGCAUUCGCCAAGGAUGUUUUCAUUAAUCAGUGAACGAAAGUUAGGGGAUCGAAGACGAUCAGAUACCGUCGUAGUCUUAACCAUAAACUAUGCCGACUAGGGAUCGGACGGUGGUUUUUUUAUGCCCCGUUCGGCACCUUACGAGAAAUCAAAGUUU
rnacentral:rRNA from 1 species